AGAGCGAACGCUGGCGGCAGGCUUAACACAUGCAAGUCGAGCGGGCGUAGCAAUACGUCAGCGGCAGACGGGUGAGUAACGCGUGGGAACGUACCUUUUGGUUCGGAACAACACAGGGAAACUUGUGCUAAUACCGGAUAAGCCCUUACGGGGAAAGAUUUAUCGCCGAAAGAUCGGCCCGCGUCUGAUUAGCUAGUUGGUGAGGUAAUGGCUCACCAAGGCGACGAUCGGUAGCUGGUCUGAGAGGAUGAUCAGCCACAUUGGGACUGAGACACGGCCCAAACUCCUACGGGAGGCAGCAGUGGGGAAUAUUGGACAAUGGGCGCAAGCCUGAUCCAGCCAUGCCGCGUGAGUGAUGAAGGCCCUAGGGUUGUAAAGCUCUUUGUGCGGGAAGAUAAUGACGGUACCGCAAGAAUAAGCCCCGGCUAACUUCGCGCCAGCAGCCGC
rnacentral:rRNA from 1 species